UGGGGAAUUUUGGACAAUGGGCGAAAGCCUGAUCCAGCAAUGCCGCGUGUGUGAAGAAGGCCUUCGGGUUGUAAAGCACUUUUGUCCGGAAAGAAAUCCUUGGCUCUAAUACAGUCGGGGGAUGACGGUACCGGAAGAAUAAGCACCGGCUAACUACGUGCCAGCAGCCGCGGUAAUACGUAGGGUGCAAGCGUUAAUCGGAAUUACUGGGCGUAAAGCGUGCGCAGGCGGUUUGCUAAGACCGAUGUGAAAUCCCCGGGCUCAACCUGGGAACUGCAUUGGUGACUGGCAGGCUAGAGUAUGGCAGAGGGGGGUAGAAUUCCACGUGUAGCAGUGAAAUGCGUAGAGAUGUGGAGGAAUACCGAUGGCGAAGGCAGCCCCCUGGGCCAAUACUGACGCUCAUGCACGAAAGCGUGGGGAGCAGACAGGAUUAGAUACCCUGGUAGUCCACGCCCUAAACGAUGUCAACUAGUUGUUGGGGAUUCAUUUCCUUAGUAACGUAGCUAACGCGUGAAGUUGACCGCCUGGGGAGUACGGUCGCAAGAUUAAAACUUAAAUGAAUUAACGGGGUCAUAGCUGUUUCC
rnacentral:rRNA from 1 species